rnacentral:lncRNA from 1 species
CGGCGGGGAAGGCGGCGCGCGGGCUCCUCGAGAUCGCUGUGUUGAUGCUCCCUCGCUUUCGUGGUCGCUUCGCCGCUGCCAGAGUACGGUGGAACCCGGCGACUGCGUGCGUGUCUUGGCCGGCGUGAGUGUCUUGUUGCCAUGGAGGAUUCAGCGCUGGCGACGGCCGUCUGACAGGAGGAAGAGCAUGGCUUUUCCCUCUCCGCUGGCAGGGGCCGACUCUCCCUGCUGUGAAGUCGUCCUGUGACUCACCCUGUCAACCCAAGUGGAGACGAAGCGAUAAAGCACAGAACGAAAGAAAGAAAGAGAAAAAAAAACUCGAAUUUGCUCGUUUUGAUUGCUUGCUCAUUGUUUUCGUUGCCAUGGCCGGUGCAGUCCUACCGUGUGAAUUAUGGUGACAUGAAGAGUCAAUCUGCGCUGCUGAAAAAUCAGAUGUAUUCGAGAAUAAUCGCUGUUCUGAGUGGAGCCAUGGAGGUAUAACCUUUUGUGGCGCUUGGCAUUUCAAGGAGAUCAGCUCUGAUAUAUAUGUGAGUGCGCUGUGUGGAGCUAAUUCAGCAUAGAGGUUAAUGGUGUCAUUAUUUCCAGUUGCUGCGCGAGGGAAAGAUAAAUUUCGACAAUUUUAAAGUUCAGAAUAAAAUGCAAAAUAACAACCAUACUGUAUAGAUCGUACACUGUGUCUGCCAAAGAGUGGUUAUUCCUCUGAUAUGUUUUAUGUAGUGAAUCGUUGAUGAAAUUCAUAUCUCCCAAUCCACUUCGCUGCUCCAGCUGGGCUAAGCUUCAGUAUUCUCAGUGUAGCUACUUUUAUUUUAUAGUUGUUCAGUGUGGUGAUUCAUAGAAGCAAUACCUGAUAGUGCAACAACAGAAUAGCUGCUGCAGUCUGUCUUCUUGUACAUGAAUGCAGUGCGCUGUAUAGCAUUGUAAUGUUAGUAAUGUCUAGAUAAACGUCCCCUUGUGAUAGGAGGACGGGAGAGGUGAGGGGGAAGAGAAAGGGCGUUUAAAGAAAAGGAAGAAAGUGGGAAGAAAGGAAGGAAAGGAAAGGAAAGGAAGUGGGAAGAAAAAGGAAGAGAGAGAAAGUAAGUCACCGGGGGAAAAGAGCAAGGAAGGAAGUAGGAAGACAGAGGAGGAAAGAGGUAGGGUGUUGACAGCGCCUUCCUGCCGGGCGAGAAGAAGAUUGUGCCGCUGAGGAGAUAAAUGUCAAAACGCGAAGAAAUUCCGGGAUGCUGUGCCUUCCGCCGUGGUUAUCCGUCCAGCUGAGCGUCUCGCCUUCUCCUCCUUCGCCCCCUGUCACCGGCGCCGUCAGGAGGCGAGAUCCCCGAGCAGAAGCCGAGUCCUUCGCCGAGGCACAGGCUCUCCGACGCGACCUUCGGCCCAUGGACACAGCGGCGGCGGCGUGAAACUUCUCCGGCGGAAGAAGGAUGAGAUCAAGCAGGUGACGCGAGCGGCCGUGGUGGUCGAGGGCGGAGGGCCUGGCCG